rnacentral:rRNA from 1 species
GCCAAACAGCUAGCUCACCCACCAAAACUAAAUUAUUACUAUUAAUAACCUUAUUAAAGCCUACUUAAAUAAACCAAACCAUUUUUCUGCCUUAGUACGGGCGACAGAAAAGGCACUAAUGAAGCAAUAGAAAAAGUACCGCAAGGGAAAGCUGAAAAAGAAAUGAAACAACCCAUUCAAGCCCUAAAAAGCAGAGACUAAUACUCGUACCUUUUGCAUCAUGAUUUAGCCAGCACAUCUAAGCAAAGUGAACUUUAGUUUAAAGCCCCGAAACCAAGUGAGCUACCCCGAGACAGCCUAUUUCAGGGCCAACCCGUCUCUGUGGCAAAAGAGUGGGAAGAUCUCCGGGUAGAGGUGACAGACCUACCGAACUUGGUGAUAGCUGGUUGCCUAAGAAGUGGAUAAAAGUUCAGCCUCGCACUCCUCAUAUCACGUAAAUAUUACUAUCAUAUGAAAAUGAGAAAUUCACGAGAGUUAGUCAAAGGAGGUACAGCUCCUUUGAAUCAGGGUACAACCUGACCAGGCGGUUAAGAAUUAUAAUUACCUAAGAUUACUGCUCCAGUGGGCCUAAAAGCAGCCACCUGUGCAGAAAGCGUUAAAGCUCAGGCAGACAUCCAUCUAUUAUUCUAUUAUAAAACUUCCAAGCCCCUCCCUAUAUUAGGCCUCUCCAUGCACACAUGGAAGAGAUCCUGCUAAAAUGAGUAAUAAGAAGGAACCCCCUUCUCCUAAGCCAAUGUGUAAGUUAGAUCGGACUAACCACUAACGAUUAAUGAACCCAACACAAGAGGGUACUGUGAUAAACAAAAGAAAACAAGAAAAAUACACAACACACAAUCAUUAACCCCACACUGGAAAGCUAUUAAGGAAAGACUAAAAGAAGCGGAAGGAACUCGGCAAACACAAGCCUCGCCUGUUUACCAAAAACAUCGCCUCCUGCAAAAUCCCUGUAUAGGAGGUCCUGCCUGCCCAAUGACUAUAAGUUAAAUGGCCGCGGUAUUUUGACCGUGCUAAGGUAGCGCAAUCACUUGUCUUUUAAAUAGAGACCCGUAUGAAUGGCAAGACGAGGGCUUAUCUGUCUCCCGCUCCCAGUCAAUGAAAUUGAUCUACCCGUGCAGAAGCGGGUAUAAAUAUACAAGACGAGAAGACCCUUUGGAGCUUAAGACAUAAAGCCAACUGUGUUAAAAAUCUAAACAAAAAAGAAUAUAACAAAACAGCACUAAUGGCCCGAGUCUUGGGUUGGGGCGACCGCGGGGGAAAACACAGCCCUCAUGUGGAACGGGAGAAAUCCUAAAACCAAGAGAGACAUCUCUAAGUCACAGAACAUCUGACCAAAAGAUCCGGCCCACAAGCCGAUCAACGAACUAAGUUACCCUAGGGAUAACAGCGCAAUCCCCUCCAAGAGUCCAUAUCGACGAGAGGGUUUACGACCUCGAUGUUGGAUCAGGACAUCCUAAUGGUGCAGCCGCUAUUAAGGGUUCGUUUGUUCAACGAUUAAAGUCCUACGUGAUCUGAGUUCAGACCGGAGCAAUCCAGGUCAGUUUCUAUCUGUAAUUACCACUUUUCCUAGUACGAAAGGGCCGGAAAAAUGAGGCCUCUGCCACAAGCACGCCUCUCCCCAACUUAAUGAAUACAACUAAAUUAAAAAAAGGGGGGUAUACACCCUAGCCAAGAUAAGGCACU